GGUGCGAGUGAAGCGCACAGCUCAAAUUGAAUUCUGGCCUCUGAGGUCCGAGUAGUAAGUUGUAGAAGGUGCAUCGGAUGUAACAAUGGUACAAGUCCUUGGUAAUUGGGCGUCAUAGAGGUUGAUAACCCCGUUUGUGUCCGCUUUGUUCAUCUAUAUGCACCCCAUUCGACGAGUCGAGUUGUUUGGGAAUGCAGCUCAAAAUGGGUGGUAGACUUCAUCUAAAGCUGAAUAUCAGCUAGAGACCGAUAGCGCACAAGUAGAGUUAUCGAAAGAUAAAAAGCACUUUGAAAAGAGAGUCACACAGCGCGUGAAAUUGUAGAAAGGGAAGCGCUAGCCACCAGACUUGCUUGUAUUGUUCAGCUUCCUGAAAAGGUGGUGUAUUCUUUACAUGCAGGCCAGCAUCGGUUUUGACGGUCGGAUAAAAGCUUAUGGAAAGUAGCUUUCCUCCGGGGAAGUGUUAUAGCCUGAGUACAAUGCGACCAGUUGGGACCGAGGAACGCGCUUUUGCUCGGAUGUUGGCAUAAUGGUUGUUAGCGACCCGUCUUGAAACACGGACCAAGGAGUCGGCCAAUUAAGCGAGCGUUAGGGUGUAAAACCCACGGUCCGUAAUGAAAGUAAACGUAGGUGGGAAGCCUUGGGCAGCACCCUCGCCCGAUCUGAGUUCGCGAGGAUUUGAGUACCAUUUUCUUUGGUCCAUCCAGAAACCCAGUAUACCCUUCCCCCGUUAAGUAAAAGCAAAAUACUAACGAUUCUCUGGGAAGGUGAACUAUUGCCGAAUGGGUGGAAGCCAGGGGAAACCCUGAUGAAACUCCGCAGCGGUUCUGCGGGGAAAUUCGAUCUUCAAAUUUAGGAAUAGGGGGGAAGGCUUAAUCGACCCUUUUAGUAGCUGGUUCCUGUGGAAUUUUCCCUCAGGAUAGCAGCAACGAUUAACUUUUUCAUGAGGUAGAGCAACGAUUAGAGCCCUUGGGGUUGAACCACCUUUACCUAAUUUCAAACCUCAAAAUAUAAGAGAAGUCCGUGUUACUUUAUUGAACGUGUGCACAUGUGGAUACCGUUUUUGUCU
rnacentral:rRNA from 1 species